UAUUAUUAUACCGAUAGAUAUUGUAUUUGUAUAUCAAAAAGAAGAGCAAUUUUAAUGUAUUUGCCAAUUCGAAAAUUAACAACCGAAAAGAAGAACAUUUAUUUUUUGUUCAAUAGUUUUGUUAAUUAAGUUAGCUUUAUAUCUCUAUAUAUAUUAACUAAUUUGAUUAUUUUCUGUUUCAUGUAUUUGUAUAUCAGUGUAGUCUGUAGAAAGCAACAAGAAACAAACCCAAUCGCCCGACAUUGAAUUGUAUAUUAUAUUUUUAUAUAUACAAAUACACAAAAUUGACAAGCAAAAAACACAAAAAAAAUGUUGCCAAACAAAAAACAUUUUAUCAGAACAGACAUAUGAGAAAAUUUUACCUUAAUUUCUUUAUACAUUUUUAAGUCUCCAAAGAAUACUCAUUUUAUUAUCGUCAACAAUUAUAUUUUAAAAAAGUUUUGUUAUCUGCUUUGCUUAUUAUUGUUCCUAGAAACCUUUUUCGGCAGCUAAAAUGCAUAGUCAACUCAAUGAACAUGAUAUUGCUCAACUUGUAGUGCAUAAGUAAAUGCAACAGAUCAACACGUAGACAUAUCCUUGGAACAUACAAUAAUAAUUACUUUAAUGCGGCCGUAGCAGCAAAAAAAAAAAAAAAAAAAAAAUAUAUAUAUAAAUAAUGAGUAUAAAAUUAAAAUAUUAAUGCAUAAUAGUUUUUAACUUCAAGCUUCCAGUGACAGAAAGAUAGAAAGAAAACCCAGAAACGGAAACGUGAAAAUUGUGUAGUAAGCAUUAAAAAUAAAAUAAAUUAUUAGCUCCUACUAUGUAGCACUUUCUUUGUGUGUUGUGUAAAAAACAAAAAGCUAAACAAAAAUGAAGCAAAAUCAGAAAUGAACAUUUUUCAAAAACAAUUAUAAAACAAAUAACUUCACAUCGUUUCAGUGUUGUUCAUUUUGGGUCUAGACCACAAAACUUCCCUAAGCAAGCUAAGAAUUUAUUUUACACAUACUCUAUAAAGUCUAAUGCACACAAUUCACUUUUACAGUUGUGUAUUUUCAAAUGUAUGUUGGAAAAACAAAUCCAAAGAAAUAACAAAAAAAAAAAGAAGAAAUAUUAAAGUAAAUAAUUAUAAAAAAAAAAAAAAAAAAAAAAUGCUCAAGAAGUAAUUUGACCUCGUUCUCUAUUUCGAUUCUUAGACAGUUACUGUCGCAAAAUUUAUGCUAGUUGUUUAUGAAUAAUAUAAACAAAUAUACCUUUGAUUCGUUUUCCUGUGUAUGUAACUGUGCAAUUGAUCCUUCGAAUUUAUCCUUUUGAUCAAAAUCCAAAAAUAUUUACUAUUCAUUGAUUAUACUCCAUGCGAUGUUUAAUUGUAGCCUGGUGAUAAUUCUGCAAUAUUGGGUUUGCUACUAAACAAAUCGUUGUCUGAGAUUGUAAAUAAUUACUUUGAAUUUUCUUAUGCUCACAUACAUUUGCACAGACAUACAACGGCAACUUAAAGCAAUUUAUGUCAUACUCAGAUUUUAAAUGUUUCUUUAAAUAUCAUUACACAAAUAUAAAUUAAAAAAAAAAACACAAAAAAAAAAUAAGAUUUUAAGUAUAAGUACGUUGACAUUUUUCAAGCCAAAGUUUAUAUUUAAAAAUGAUUUUUAGUUAGAUUUAGUUUUUAUGCCGAUGACAGACACAAAAAUAAAAUAAUAAUACAAAAUGAAACAAAUCAAUUCAAACCCAACAAUUGCCAAAUUAAAUGUAGCUUUCAAGUGAAUAGACACUUAAUUAAAGUAACAAAAAUAAAAGAAAAACGUUUAAAAUAGCACAGAAAUAAAUACAUAUUAUAACAACUAGAAAAACUUAAUGUAUAUCACACUUUUUGGCAGCACACACAUGAAUAAUUGAAUAAAAAACAAAUACUUUUGGGUUUGAUAUACAAGGCGAAAUAAACCAAGUAGUUAUUAAAAAUUAAACAUUAUAUAAUACAUACAAAUGAAAAAUUAUAAACUCAACUUCCACCGCAAUUUUUUAAUACAAAAACAAAACACAGUCUUAAGCAAGGUAUGAACUAAAGUCAACCUAAGUCUAAAUAUGUAAAAUGCAAAUGCAACUCAAUCAAAUUCUUAUAAAAGAUAUUUUAGUUUUUAUUUAACACUUGAUUAUCUGUGCGCCCAUCCCUCUUACACACACCCAAUUUUAACACCCAGUACAAGAGCAAGAAUGAGAAUUACGAAUCUUUAAGCUGUAAUCUUUAAUCUGUGUAGUCUAACCAUAAGCCAGCGCCGCUUUUGUUCACUUUCACAUAGAGCAUACGCAUAGGCGUUAUAUAAAGUAUAAAUAUAAACUAUAUAUAUAAAUAUAUAAUAUAUGAAAAAAACAAAACAAAAAAAAAAACACUUAUCUUUAAAGAUGUGCCAAAUUGUAAGUUGUACCAUUUGUUUUUAUGAAUGGAAAAAGCAAACAAAUGCAAAACGCAAAAUUAAAAUAAAAACAAAAAUAAAGUAAAAAAAAAGAAUAUAUAUGAAUUAAAAACUCGUGAACAGAUUUACCCCUCCCAAAGAUGAAUAAAAACAUUGUUUAGAUAUUUCAACACUUAAAUGAUGAUGGAAAAUAUUUUUUAAAUUUAGCAAUGUGUAUAGAGACCAGAGUUGGAAGUUUAGCGUCCCUAGACGCUACCUUACAAACAAAAUUGAUAACAGAUAACAAACUAGACGAAUAGUAUUAUAUUAGCGGACUCCCGCAACAAUCACACACAGCAGCUUGCCCCCCUCUCCCAGAAGACAAAAACGUUCUGCAAUACUUGUGUUCCCGCACACUUCCCCCUCCACAUUGACUCAUUUAAUACAAACGCACACAGAUACAAAACUUAAAUGGCUAUAAACAAGAUACAAAUUUAAUUGAACAAAAACUAUAUAUUGGUUUAUAUCAAUUUUCAAUUUGUAAGGUUGUGACAAAUUGUAAACAAACAUUAAAAAUAAACUCAAAAUGGGAAAUCUUUAAAAACUUGCAGAAAUUGUAAUAAUACAUGCGAAUUGCAAAUAAAAUAGCGAAAAAAAAACACAUAUAAAACUAAAAUAUAACAAAGCAAAAGAAAGGAAUAUUUGAGAUGCAUACAAACGAAAAAAAGGAAAAAAUGCAAUAAAAAUAACUUUUAAAAAUAUAAAAUGUAUUUUAAACUGGCAUUUGUUAUUUCAAAGUGGAGCUGAAACGGAACAAUUGGAAUUGAUUUGGAUUUUUUGCAUGUUUAACGCGAUUUUUUACUACAUUUUUAAAUGAAAAUUUCCUUAAAAAAUUUGGAAGGUUAAACGGGGCGUAUGAUACAUGCCAGCUGAGAACAAACACAAUAAAAAUUAUUCAAGUCACGUGUGUUGCAAAACGGAAACCUUUUCAUGUUGGACAACGACGUACUCACACAAAGGCACACACGUGGAUAACAAAAUAUGAUCAGUCACAAAUCGUCCAUUUUCACUGGCACUUUUUCUUCAUUAUUUCAACCCAUGGCUAUUAAAGUUGAUGUGCGGUCAUUACAAACAUUUAACACCUCCUAAGUCCACAGUGCGCGACAUGCAAAGGCUAUUAACCCGAUUAAAUCAACUGGAGCACGCUGCUAGUUCGCAAUGGGCCUCUAAUUAUUCAAAGCUUCACAUUUGAUUCAGGAGUUUGACCCCACACACCCACACAAAUACACACGAACACCCACAUAUCCGCCGUUUUUAAAUGGGCCAUGACAAACCAGCCGACCACAGGAAGUGAACGCCUAUGCCCCAGCUCCUGGUUACGACCGGUUAGUUCAGUUUGUUGGCCCCACUGUCCCAACGGCUGCCCCUGCGGCUGCGGCCACUGUGGCCAACAGUGUGACAUAAUAAAUUAUGCUGCAUAGCAAUGAUUAAUUUGGGUUCAGCAUGGCAACAUGACAGCCGUCGAGGUGCGGGGCAUCCAAUCAAAUGCAUACAGAAUGAGUAGUUGGAAUUGGCUAUCACACACACGCACACACACACAGGCUUGCACACAGCCAGGCACACACACGCAUCUGCGGUUGCUGGCCCACUUUCCACUUGGCCAAAAAGAAAUCAAAGUUCGCAGACUAGAUAUUCGUGCUGUGAUUUCUUUUCUCUUUCAACAACGCCAACCCAUAUAUCCGCCGGCCUAUCUGUUUAUGGCUAUGUCUACGUGUCUCUGCGAACUGCGCGAUAAUUUUGCCAUUGGUUGUGGAGCACAUAACACUCGAAAUGGCAAGCAUUAAAAUGGCCAAUGUUGCUCUCUAAUUCUACGCUACGGGCGAUAGGGAAUGCUGCCAAAUGGGUUUCGGUCUAUCCACAUGUUGCAGCAUGUUCAUAAAAAAGGGACAGAUUUUUCCACAUGAAGCACCAGCAUCAAGCAGAUACGCUUAAAAGGCUGCCCCAGUGGGCAUGGUGUCCAAACCAAUUGCAAAACCACACAAGAACCGCUGCUAACCGCAGCACAAAAACUAAUUACAUUAUUUCGAGUUGAUGCAAUCAGAGAGUGCCUAUGCCCCCUACGGUUUACCCCAAAAGGCCAUCCACGUUACGGUUCAAUUGAAAGUGCGGAUGGGGCCAAAAAACUGACCUCACACAUAAAUAUACAUACGCGCACACACGAGCUCGGACGGGCCGCGUGGCAGGACAUGCCACUGCAUGCAAAUCACUACAAAAAUGCAAUGGGCGGCGGUUAGGGCUGUGAUUGGGAUUGGAGAUCAGCGACAGCCACCGGAAACGGAGCAAUGCGGCAUUGUUGGUUGCUUUACGAGCCGCAGCCACUGCAUGGCAAUGUCUGUGCAUCUCUCUCUCUGCAUGUGAAUGCUGGAUUAAUGCCGCCAGCUGCGUUACGCUCGCUUUGGGUUUUACUCUGGUAAAAAAGUAAACAUGCAACAGAGAAGAUGAACCACCAAUAAUUCAGUGGCAACCGUUGAGCAUAAAAAUCGAAACAGCUGCAAGUAUCGCAUCGCUUGCUGCUAUUCAUUGUUGCUCGUAUUUGUCUGUUAAUUGCCAUUGCAGCGCAAUAAAAAUGUGGAGCCCGAAAUACACACGCAGUCACAUACACACACACACUUUCACCAGCUGACACGCAGAGAUAGAGAGAGAUUUCAGACUUUCCCUGUAAUUAACAAUGUAGUUGUCGCGCGCAUUUCAAUUAAACGCAUUUUAAAGCGUCUCCAAUUGGGCGAAAGCAACUACAAAGGCCAAAAGCGUCUAAUUAAUCGAAUUCUACAGUUGUGUGUGUGUGUGUGUGUGUAAAACAUCGUACCGAGCGCCUUUGCUGUGCAUGCACUUUGCACUUUACUCUUUACCCCAAUUGCGCUUUUAAUUAAAAGUGGGGGGAAAUCUGGCAGGGUCUGGCUUUGCAUUUUCGCUUUCACUUUGUAAGUUGCGCUCCAAUUACCGAAUGCAGCAAAAAUUUCAACGCCCAAUACCACAAAAUCGUUUUUCCGAUGCGAAGCUUAAACAAAAUGUUCACUACAACACGCUCAGCCACAUAUCCAUGCAGUCGACUAUCUAGCUUUCCAGGCAGAUUGCUGACGAUGCGGGUACUCUAGUCCAGGACUUCGCUGCAGUGACCAUAUAACGACCCAAGGUGCAAUCAGGUAAGUUUUUUUUAUUUUAUAUAUACACAGCUGUUUCUCCUGACAGACUGAUUGGUAUGAGCUGAGCUGGUCUUAGAACAAUAGCUACGACAGAGUUUGAAAGAUGGUAUCAGAGGCGAAAAACAUUUUGCUUUACCCAAUCGAAAAAUAUAUACUUGUACAUUCUCAUAUAUCUUACGCACAAAGAUAUAUUAUAACGAAGGAAGGAUGUUCCCGUAUAGUAUAUAUAUUGUUGAUUAGGACGAGUAUCCCAGCGUAGCCAAUUAACUUCCUUGCUAUAGGCCAAUUGUGGCUGUGAAGUCAAGCAUUGAUUUGUCUGUGGCCAACAUCAAAACUGUUUCUGUUUGAGCAUGUUUGUGUUCCCAUACAUUCAUGUUAUUAUACCCAUUAAAAUGCAGAAAACGGUUAGAUAGGUUUUGUCCGAACUUCUUGCUCAGCAUGAGCAGUCGAGACGAUCUAGCCAUGUCCGUUUGCCUGUCUAUCUCGUCCGUAUAGGACGACUCUCCCCGCUUCAAUAAUAUAGACAAAUAAUCGAUAUCAUAAUCCUCUCAUUUAGGCAUAUUCUCGAGCUUAUAAGUUCUAGAGACAACAAAUUUGGUAGGUCUACUCUCUUUCUAAUUGAAAACUCAAAUCCAAAAUAUUUCGUAUUUCGGUAGUGUGGAAAAAUAAGCACAGACACUGCAUUUACCUCGCAGAUUGGGAGAAGGGAAAAUAAAAUGUUUGUGACAGCAGCAUGGCAUCUUCUAGUCGGGCACUUCAAACCAUAUGACUCUUCCUUUUCUAUGCAUUGUUUUUGUUGCUGCAUGUGAUGAGCAUUUUAAAUACAAAAUAAAUGCAUCGCCUGUCCCAAAUCUCGUUUGAUUGUGUAAAUAUUUGGAUGCACAUUGGACCAUCAACAAAUUUGCAUCGGUUUUUCAUUGGCUGCUGCGAAUUAUUUAUUUUCAUUGGAAGCCCAGGCAGCCAGGCCACAAAAAUCUAUGCUGCCAAAUUGGUGAUUGUCAUUUAACUAUUUUGGUUUAGCUUUGAAUAAAAGACACAUGAAUCAAUUCUAAUGGACGGAAAAUAAUAAACAAUUUUUAUCUCUUAAAUGGCUCAGCUGUCAGCAUAGUAUGUGAUAUUAGGCGGUUUCAAGCACUCAUAACAAUUUGAGUUUCGAUUUAAAUUAUAGACCGCCCACGUAUCGGUAUACGCAAGAAUAUUGGGGCUCAAUUUGACAUUUAUAAGAGCUUAAAAUUUAACAUUUCGUAAAUGUACGUUAUUUGAGGUAAAAUUUUCAGGGUUAAUUUUCAUUCAGCUGCAUCUCCUAGAAAAAUCAAGAGCUCAAUUUAUUUUUACGGUUCGCCCGAAGUGUAAUUCAUUUCGUUUAAAAAUCAUUUUUAUUGCAUUAGUAAUCAAAUUAUUUUGAUAUUUCUCGCAAUUUCGUAUUUCAUUAACUUCUAAUCUAAUUCAAUUAUGAAAUACAAUUUGGUUUAAAUGGAGUGUAUUCAUUCAAUUGCAUACAAAACUCAUAUAUACACUCAGCAGAAAGCGAUGAAUAAUUGAUGGCCAGCAAUUUAAUAAUACUUAGCUCGAGCAAAGCCAAGCAAUACCUGCACUUAUGAUGUUGAUGAUAUUGAAACUUAAAUCGAUUAAGAUAGUUUUACAUUUUUGUUGUUUUUUUUUUUGCUUGUCCCAUGGCAAUUUCCGCAUCAUUGCAUUUGUGGUGGCGGGCGUUAGCAAAUCCUUAAAUAUCCUGAGCUGUCAAUUGCAAUGCAUGAGACUUUUCCCCCAGCUCAUGUUGCCGCCUGCCGCGUCAGACACAGCUGUUGGCUCUGACCUUAUAGGAAUGUUAUAACUCAAAGUGGGACGUGGUCUUACCGCCCAGCGCCAGCGUUGCGGCGUUAUGCAAUCCAUGCCAUGCAGCCAUUUUUCAAAAAUUCAAUUGUAUAUACAAUUCAAUUUGUGUGAUCAACAACGUCGACUUUGACAGGCCCCAGGGCCAGGCAUAGAGUGCACAUAUCAGGCGUCAAAACUCCGAAGCGCUCACAACGUUACAAAGCAUUUUGAUGUUGCAUUAAUUUGUAGCUGGGGCUGUCGGGCAGGCGGCUAGACGGCUAGCUGUUGCGUGGCAAAUGCUACUUUUGAUUAGAACUGGACCGCAAAGAAAUUAUAGCAUACUUUAAUGCUGGCAGCAUUCAGCGCAAGAAGAUGGGCAAAUAAUUACGCUAAUUACGCGUGUCAGGCUUAUUAAAAUAGAGCUGUAGCUGGGUCACAUCGUCCUGCCAUGUCCUGACCACAGCUAUGUGGCCAUCAAUCACUGAAAUUGUGCGCUUUUUCGCUUGUAAAUAAAUCAUUAAAAAAACCAACAACAAAGCUCGAACAACAAAAAGCUCUAAGCGUUGUCCCGACUGCGGUCGCUGGGCGUUUAGCUAAGGACCCUGCGUAUGUGUGGGUGUGAGUGUGAGUAUAUAUGCGUUGUUGGGUGUCUUGUUUGCGAUGGUGUCUGUCAUUGUUGGUGGUUUUGUGGUUGCGAACAGUGGUCGGCGCUUUUAGCCAUUUACCUACCUGCUCCUGCACAGGCAAACCAGCGGAAGUGGGCGUGGCCGUUGCGUGGGAAGUGUGCUCGAAUGCGUCUGUUCAUUUCUGGGACAUGAGAGAGAAUGCACGGGUUUCAAGCUCCAUUCGAUGUUUGAGUUUGUGUUUUUGUGUGUCUGUUUCAUUAUAAGCUCAACGGCACUUAGCACACAAUUUAAGCGGCUUUGGAUUUGCUGCUGUCGCUUUAGUUGCCAUUCCUUCGUCCCGUGCCGUUCCCAAUCGCUGAUACAUUUUGCUCUUGUUGGUCGUUAACAGGCAGCUCGUGAAUGAGUUUUGGGCAUUUGGCCAGUUUGCCCAGAAUUAAGCCCGAGUAUCUGUUGGCACAGGCUAAUGCCUGUAAUUAUUGCAAUUUUAAUUUCAAUGCCGAGUCAUUUAAAAUAAUUGUGACAUUUUUUGUUGACUGCUGCAUUGCGAGAGACGGUUGCCAAGGGCAAACAGUCAACAAGUUGUCGAUGGAAGUUACAGAAAAACCAGCCAAUUGUGAAUUUGGCAGCAUUUUAUAUCAAGAUGCACCAUAUUCCCAUGGCUAAUUUCAAAAUUAGCCAAAAUGUGCCAAAGUCAUGCAAAGUGUUACGAGUUGAAUAAUGAUGCUACGCUAGAGAAACUAUGAUAUGCUGCAGAUUAAGCUAUCAAAAUAUGUAAUUGGACUUGGAAGUGUAAGACCAAAUAACGGUGCAAGAAAUUGAAUUAAUUUUAAAAUAUAAACAUGAUGAAUUUGAUUCGAUUAAAACUAUUAAAAAAAUACAUUCGUAUUAAGAAGUCAUAUUUAAUUGAUUUCCUUGAAAUACACCAAGCCUCAAUUGUAAAUUGUGCAAUGCAUAAUUUGAUUUUCCAAUUAGAUAAGCACACAUUGCACAAGUUUCCUGAUUUAAACCGAUUCAUUGCCACCCCUGCCUCGCCCCACAUCGCCCACAACUCGCCGCCAGCUUGCAUUUGAUAUGCGUGGACGCGCUAUCUGCCUAAUUAUAUAAGCUGACUCCGUUCUGGCGAUACCCCGACAUAAGCGCAUUAUAGCGCCUCAUAAAGCAAGUCAGCGAAGCUCCUGCGUGGCAGCUAACGCGAUUUGUAGGCUCGUCCAAUCAGACAAUUACAUAUUACAAUUACACGGGCUGCGCUAUGAGGCGAAAUAAAUUAUGUGUAGGAGCUGGGGGAAGCCGCACUUGAAAUGUAACCAAGCGACACCGCUGCACACGCCUCAACCGCACGGAAGGGAUUAAUUGUUGUGCACUCGGGCCAAAAACUGUGUCCACAACAAUUUCAGGAAAAUCAAUAGGCAGUGGAAAAAGACAAGGGUUAGAGGCGCCUUAUUAAUUGGACGGUGCUACACCGAAAAGGCAGCAAAUACUUUCACGCUCGUUUCAAGGCGGCUGCAAAGAAAAAGGAUAUUUGCCCUCACCUUGUGCCUCUGCCACGUGCUCAGCAGUCAUCGAAGUUGUCCUAAUGGCGCCCCAGCACGCAAGCUCAGACGGCGUGCACUGGACUGGCAAGGCCGUCAGCGAGUGUGGUGGACGGGCACUGGGGCUGGGACUGGGACUGGGACAUGGCAAAAGACAAGCAUCUUGAGGUCUUUACUUCACCUCCGCUGGCCGGAUUAGCCGUAGACACGUCCAAUGUGUGUGCUCUCUACUAUUUAACUUUUUAACUCAGAGCUGGGUAGCUGGCUGUGUACGGAAUUUGCUCUGGUCACUGAUUUCACUGGCGGUCAAGGCUGACAAUAUUGUACAUAGUACCUGGACGUCACUAGAGCCAAGUCCCAGUCACAGUCCAAAGUGGCUCCCGGUAGCUGCUUGUAAAUUUAUGUCCAUAAAAAGGCAUAAAAAGGAAGCGGAAAAUGUGUUGUGUAAAAAGGACGACGUUGAAAAUAAAAUCAACAAUAAAUUUUGCAUGCAGCAACAUUACGAAACAAUAGCGAACCUUCAGUAUCUCACUCUCUCUCUCUUUUUCUCCCACAUGCCCUUCUUAUCUCUGCACCGACCCUGUGAGGGCGUACAAACUGCAAUUGGUAUUUUUAUUGCGUGCUCAACACGGCGUAUGCGUAAUACGAGUAAAAGGCUGCCAGUUGGCAGGACAAGCAGAGACGUACGGGUUUUUAUAGCCUCUUUUGACUUAUGCGCCAUAAAGUGCCAUAAAAUGAAAUUAAAUAAACGAAAUGUAAAACUCAUUUUUACAUAUUGAUUGCAAUUUCUAUCAACAAAUUUGGCAUGCCUAUCAGACGCGACAAGGACAUCAAAAGGUUGCAGAAUUCGU